rnacentral:RNase_P_RNA from 1 species
CGCUGCGGGAGGAAAGUCCGGGCAACACGAGUCACCAUACUUCCUAACGGGAAGGGGACUGGGAGGAAAGAGCCCAGUUCACAGCAAGUGCCACAGAAAGAUAAACCGCCACUCGAAAAGAGUUGGUAAGGGUGCAAGCGCGAGGCAAGAGCUCACGACGGAAGGCAGCGAUACCGUCCGAUGGCAAACCUUAUGGGUUGAAAAACCAAAUAUACCGACUGUUAAGGGCCGACUCGCCCAUUGUCGGGGGGUAGGUUGAUUGAGACCGUCGGCGACGACGGUUCUAGAUUGAUGAUAGAGGCUGCCCAACAGGCAGAACAGAACCCGGCUUAUGAAGUUG